rnacentral:rRNA from 1 species
CAGUAGCCACGGUAAUACAGAGGGUGCGAGCGUUAAUCGGAUUUACUGGGCGUAAAGCGUGCGUAGGCGGCUUCUUAAGUCGGAUGUGAAAUCCCUGAGCUUAACUUAGGAAUUGCAUUCGAUACUGGGAAGCUAGAGUAUGGGAGAGGAUGGUAGAAUUCCAGGUGUAGCGGUGAAAUGCGUAGAGAUCUGGAGGAAUACCGAUGGCGAAGGCAGCCAUCUGGCCUAAUACUGACGCUGAGGUACGAAAGCAUGGGGAGCAAACAGGAUUAGAUACCCCAGUAGUCCCUGUCUCUUUACC